rnacentral:rRNA from 1 species
CCUACGGGUGGCAGCAGUGGGGAAUAUUGCGCAAUGGGCGAAAGCCUGACGCAGCGACGCCGCGUGAGGGAUGAAGGUCUUCGGAUCGUAAACCUCUGUCAGCAGGGAAGAACGGUCACUGUGCUAAUCAGCAGUGAAUUGACGGUACCUGCAAAGGAAGCACCGGCUAACUCCGUGCCAGCAGCCGCGGUAAUACGGAGGGUGCGAGCGUUAAUCGGAAUUACUGGGCGUAAGGCGCUCGUAGGCGGUAUGUCAAGUCAAGGGGGAAAUCCCCGCGCACAACGUGGGAACUGCCUUUGAAACGGGCAAACUGGAGUGUGUGAGAGGAAAGUGGAAUUCGAGGUGUAGGAGUGAAAUCCGUAGAUAUCGGGAGGAACAUCAGUGGCGAAGGCGACUAUCUGGCACAUAACUGACGCUGAGGAGCGAAAGCGUGGGUAGCGAACAGGAUUAGAUACCCUGGUAGUC